rnacentral:rRNA from 1 species
UACGUAGGGGGCAAGCGUUGUCCGGAAUCAUUGGGCGUAAAGAGCGUGUAGGCGGCUUGGUAAGUCCGCUGUGAAAGUCCAGAGCUCAACCCUGGAAUGCCGGUGGAAACUGUCAAGCUUGAGUCCGGAAGAGGCGAGUGGAAUUCCUGGUGUAGCGGUGAAAUGCGCAGAUAUCAGGAGGAACACCAAUGGCGAAGGCAGCUCGCUGGGACGGUACUGACGCUGAGACGCGAAAGCGUGGGGAGCAAACAGG